AGUGAACGCUGGCGGUAGGCCUAACACAUGCAAGUCGAACGGCAGCACAGUAAGAGCUUGCUCUUACGGGUGGCGAGUGGCGGACGGGUGAGGAAUACAUCGGAAUCUACUUUUUCGUGGGGGAUAACGUAGGGAAACUUACGCUAAUACCGCAUACGACCUACGGGUGAAAGCAGGGGAUCUUCGGACCUUGCGCGAUUGAAUGAGCCGAUGUCGGAUUAGCUAGUUGGCGGGGUAAAGGCCCACCAAGGCGACGAUCCGUAGCUGGUCUGAGAGGAUGAUCAGCCACACUGGAACUGAGACACGGUCCAGACUCCUACGGGAGGCAGCAGUGGGGAAUAUUGGGCAAUGGGCGCAAGCCUGAUCCAGCCAUACCGCGUGGGUGAAGAAGGCCUUCGGGUUGUAAAGCCCUUUUGUUGGGAAAGAAAGGCAGCAGGUUAAUACCCCGCCGUUCUGACGGUACCCAAAGAAUAAGCACCGGCUAACUUCGUG
rnacentral:rRNA from 1 species